GUGUGUUGUGUUUUCCAGGACUAAUGUCGUGAUGAACUACUCUGAGAUCGAGUCAAAGGUGCGAGAGGCCACUAAUGACGAAUCCUGGGGACCUUCAGGACAGCUGAUGGGAGAGCUCGCCAGGGCUACCUUCAUGUAUGAGCAGUUUCCUGAAGUGAUGAACAUGCUCUGGAACAGAAUGCUCAAAGAAAACAAGAAGAACUGGAGAAGAGUCUACAAGUCCUUGUUGCUGUUAUCCUACCUGAUUAGAAACGGUUCAGAGCGAGUGGUGACCAGUGGCCGAGAACACCUGUACGACCUGCGCUCGAUAGAGAGCUAUCACUGCAUAGGUACACACACACCCACACACACACCUGUAC